rnacentral:rRNA from 1 species
GACGAACGCUGGCGGCGUGCUUAACACAUGCAAGUCGAACGGAAAGGCCCUGCUUUUGUGGGGUGCUCGAGUGGCGAACGGGUGGGUAACACGUGAGUAACCUGCCCUUGACUUUGGGAUAACUUCAGGAAACUGGGGCUAAUACCGGAUAGGAGCUCCUGCUGCAUGGUGGGGGUUGGAAAGUUUCGGCGGUUGGGGAUGGACUCGCGGCUUAUCAGCUUGUUGGUGGGGUAGUGGCUUACCAAGGCUUUGACGGGUAGCCGGCCUGAGAGGGUGACCGGCCACAUUGGGACUGAGAUACGGCCCAGACUCCUACGGGAGGCAGCAGUGGGGAAUAUUGCACAAUGGGCGGAAGCCUGAUGCAGCAACGCCUCGUGCGGGAUGACGGCCUUCGGGUUGUAAACCGCUUUCGCCUGUGACGAAGCGUGAGUGACGGUAAUGGGUAAAGAAGCACCGGCUAACUACGUGCCAGCAGCCGCGGUGAUACGUAGGGUGCGAGCGUUGUCCGGAUUUAUUGGGCGUAAAGGGCUCGUAGGUGGUUGAUCGCGUCGGAAGUGUAAUCUUGGGGCUUAACCCUGAGCGUGCUUUCGAUACGGGUUGACUUGAGGAAGGUAGGGGAGAAUGGAAUUCCUGGUGGAGCGGUGGAAUGCGCAGAUAUCAGGAGGAACACCAGUGGCGAAGGCGGUUCUCUGGGCCUUUCCUGACGCUGAGGAGCGAAAGCGUGGGGAGCGAACAGGCUUAGAUACCCUGGUAGUCCACGCUGUAAACGGUGGGUACUAGGUGUGGGGUCCAUUCCACGGGUUCCGUGCCGUAGCUAACGCUUUAAGUACCCCGCCUGGGGAGUACGGCCGCAAGGCUAAAACUCAAAGGAAUUGACGGGGCCCCGCACAAGCGGCGGAGCAUGCGGAUUAAUUCGAUGCAACGCGUAGAACCUUACCUGGGUUUGACAUGGAUCGGGAGUGCUCAGAGAUGGGUGUGCCUCUUUUGGGGUCGGUUCACAGGUGGUGCAUGCCUGUCGUCAGCUCGUGUCGUGAGAUGUUGGGUUAAGUCCCGCAACGAGCGCAACCCUUGUUCACUGUUGCCAGCACGUUAUGGUGGGGACUCAGUGGAGACCGCCGGGGUCAACUCGGAGGAAGGUGGGGAUGACGUCAAGUCAUCAUGCCCCUUAUGUCCAGGGCUUCACGCAUGCUACAAUGGCUGGUACAGAGAGUGGCGAGCCUGUGAGGGUGAGCGAAUCUCGGAAAGCCGGUCUCAGUUCGGAUUGGGGUCUGCAACUCGACCUCAUGAAGUCGGAGUCGCUAGUAAUCGCAGAUCAGCAACGCUGCGGUGAAUACGUUCCCGGGGCU